rnacentral:rRNA from 9 species
AAAACGACUCUCGGCAACGGAUAUCUCGGCUCUCGCAUCGAUGAAGAACGNAGCGAAAUGCGAUACUUGGUGUGAAUUGCAGAAUCCCGUGAACCAUCGAGUCUUUGAACGCAAGUUGCGCCCGAAGCCGUCAGGCCGAGGGCACGCCUGCCUGGGCGUCACGC